rnacentral:rRNA from 1 species
UGGGGAAUAUUGGACAAUGGGGGGAAUCCUGAUCCAGCCAUGCCGCGUGUGUGAAGAAGGCCUUAUGGUUGUAAAGCACUUUAAGCGAGGAGGAGGGUACUGGUAUUAAUACUACCAGGUACUGGACGUUACUCGCAGAAUAAGCACCGGCUAACUCUGUGCCAGCAGCCGCGGUAAUACAGAGGGUGCGAGCGUUAAUCGGAUUUACUGGGCGUAAAGCGUGCGUAGGCGGCUAAUUGAGUCGGAUGUGAAAUCCCCGAGCUUAACUUGGGAAUUGCAGUCGAUACUGGUUGGCUAGAGUAUGGGAGAGGAUGGUAGAAUACCAGGUGUAGCGGUGAAAUGCGUAGAAAUAGGAAGGAACACCACUGGCGAAGGAGACCACCUGGGCUCAUACUGACGCUGAGGUGCGAAAGCGUGGGGAGCAAACAGG